AUAAAUUAAAUUUAAAUUAUGAAUUCAUUUAGACGCGACUUAAGGAAAAAGUAGAAUGUUUGAAAAAUUACUUUUUUGUAUAAGCUCUCAAUAUUUGUACUCAGGUAUAAAAAAAUAAAUAAUUAAAGCAUUAUAUGUUGAUAAGCACAAAAGUGAACGCUUAGCAUAAAAAGUGCUGAAAUGCUUCUCAGAAUUGGUAAAUUUAUUUUUUUACUAAAUUGAGCGGAUAGAAAUAUUUUAGUGCUCUCAGAGUGAAAAUGCAGGCCAAAAAAAUCACUUUCGCCACGGCUCUUUUUCUUCAUAGCUCAAGUAGCUAAUAAAAAUAAUUAUUAUCAAUGCCAAUGUCGGUAAAUGACCUCUCUCUAAUGCGUGGCGAAUAUGUGCUGAAGUGCAGCAAACAAUCUUUUGGAAAUUAAAAUCAAAAAAUCGAUGGUACUUUGCCGAUAAAUAACACCUACAUAUAUACGGGAACGUUGGUAUAAAAUUGUACAGCGCUGGUAUACUUCUGUUCAAUGGGCUAAAAAAGUUAGAGCUGUAAAGGUCGCUAAAAAGAUCGGACAUCAAGUGGGCAGAAUAACUGAAAUAAAAAUACUCUUUUUUCUUUGAUGCUCUCCGAUAGUCUCCAAAAGACAUUAAAUUUCAACAAAUUUUGAUAAAUUUCAACGAUAUGACGCGGAAAAUAUUCAUUGUGGCAUUAUUUUGGCUAGCCAUUGGCACAACAGCGGGGCAGGAAGGAAAUGCAUUUACGCUACUCUUCGGUAACGAGGCAUUACUGGAAAAACUGCAAUAUGAAAUCAGGGAUAUUAAAAAGGAAAUGGAGGAUAUUAGAGAAGGACUCACAGUAAACCAGCAGAGUUUAGCGAGCCCUAACCUGCGAUUUGAGCAAGUUGAGAAUGCAUUGCAAAAACAAAAAGAUGAAAUUUUGGAGAAACUGCAAAAAACUGUGACGGAAACUAUAAAUACACAAAACCUGCUACUAGAUCGAAUACUAAAUAUGUUAGAUAAGCAAGUGAAAAAUAUGGAAAACUCCGAAAGUAAUCAGCCACAAAAUGAAAACGAAACAAACCACAAUCUAUUGAAGACUUCACCGUCAAAUUUAGAACGUAACAAAGAAAAAAUCAUCAACAAAACCGCAACGAAGGACGACUCAGUAUCCAAAGCCACUCACGAAAGUCUUUGGCCUACCUAUAGAGCUUUCUAUCCAGAUGUAAGCCAAGCAGUGGUGGGAGUCAACUCAAGACCGCCGAUUGAAACGCUUACCACUGCCAGUAGCUGUGAUGAAGCGAUCCGUCAAAGUAAUGGUAUAGAACAGAAGUCGGGUGGCAUUUUUGCGCUAAAUAUGAGUGCCUAUAAUUUAGGUCAUAUCUAUGUCUAUUGUUUACCUGAUCCAAGUGGUGGACCAGCCUGGCUGGUCAUACAACGCCGCAUUAGUGACAAUAUGUCAUUCGUACGAAGUAAUCCCGAGUAUCAACGUGGUUUUGGCAAUUUAGCCGAAAAUUUCUUUAUGGGUUUGGAUGUAAUACAAAAAAUUAUCUCAACACCGAAUACAAAUACACAAUUAUGGAUACAAUUGGGUACGAUAAUGCAACAGAGUCCCUAUGUGUUGCGUGGCAAUUUCGCUUUAACCACCAAGAAGGACCAACGAGAUUUUGUGCACUCCAAGUUGAAUCGUACUCAUAAACUAAGAGAUAUUAUAUGGGAGGGUUGGCGUGAUAUCAUUUACGUGCAUAUGGCAAUAAGAUGGAGUUUAGAGUAAGCAAAGAUUUUGGGCACUAUAGAUGCUUCUGCGAAAUGUAUAAUCAAAAAUGCUAAAUCUUCAUAUAACCGUAUACAAUAAUUUUACCAUUAUUAAAAAUUCAAAAAACUGAAGAAUUGAAAGAGCAUAACAACAUUGAAUUUUAUGUACCGAUACAUGCAGCUUUUCCUUUCUUACCUAUAAGCUACUAUUAUAUCAGAAAACAUAUCCGGCGUUUAAAUCAAUCGCUUCAGAAAUGGAAAAAUAUAGAGAUUUGAAAAAUGGAGAACCGUAGUGUCUUUUGGUACUAAGACUUUCUGAAAUAAAAUGACCCUUUUGGGAGCCGAAUCAAUAUACCUAUCGUCUCAUGGCCUCUUGUACCGAUUAUUUUCAAGUAUUUAUUGUAACCGAUAUUGGAAACAAUCCAUGAAAAUUAAUUAUAAUAAUCAAAUUCUUAAUUUAU